GUCUGGAUCUGAUAAGCGCUGAAAGCAUCUAAGCGCGAAGCAGACCCCAAGAUUAGAUAUCAUAGAUUCCUUGUAGAUUACGAGGUUGAUAGGCUCUAGAUGUAAAUGUAGUAAUACAUGUGUAGUCCCCCACCUACUUUGCGAUUAUUUCUC
rnacentral:ncRNA from 1 species